UUAAUGUCAGGGGGCUUGAUGUCUCGAGGCCAGGGGAGGUUGAUGAGAAUGUUGCUACUUUGCAGGCAGAGGUUGAAAACCUUCAUAAUCAGGAACACAGAUUAGAUGGACAAAUAAGAGAGAUGCAAGAAAGAUUGAGGGACCUAAGUGAAGACAAAAAUUAAUA